GAAAUGCGAAAGGUAUCGAGAGACGCAACGAUAGUGACACGAGGAAUUUUUGAACGCAGCUUGCACCGUGUGGCGCGGGCCAGACGGUAUACGUGACUGAGCAUCUCCAGGGAGACUGGCUCGCAGGAGGCAGGAGCUGGUCGUCUGGCGGCGACGCGAGUCGAGCAAAGAAAAGGCAAGGCAGAGGGGCGGCGGCCAUGGGAUAGGCGCAGGCGUAUCAUGGGCGACGCAGCCAAAGCGGGUCACAUCGAUGGACGUGUGGAUGUGAAGCGACACAAAGCGAUCUCAGGUCAGGUAGGACGACCCGCCGAACUUAA
rnacentral:misc_RNA from 1 species